CGGAGGACUUUCAGUAGAAGGAACAGACACAGAGAACGUUGAGACGUUCUCUGUGUCUGUUCCUUCAACUGAAAGUUCUUCCGAUU
rnacentral:pre_miRNA from 1 species